rnacentral:rRNA from 1 species
UACGGGGGGGGCAAGCGUUGUUCGGAAUUACUGGGCGUAAAGGGCUCGUAGGUGGCCAACUAAGUCAGACGUGAAAUCCCUCGGCUUAACCGGGGAACUGCGUCUGAUACUGGAUGGCUGGAGAUUGGGAGAGGGAUGCGGAAUUCCAGGUGUAGCGGUGAAAUGCGUAGAUAUCUGGAGGAACACCGGUGGCGAAGGCGGCAUCCUGGACCAAUACUGACGCUGAGGAGCGAAAGCCAGGGGAGCAAACGGG